rnacentral:lncRNA from 1 species
AAAAAAACAAGACACCCUAAAAAGUCAAAAGCAGAAGAAAGAAGGAGGAAGAAGAGGAAUAAGGAAGCGCAAGGGGAGAAAGGAUCAGAAUGAAGCCUACUCGAUAGACUCAGAGAACUAUGAGUCCUCCAGUGGAAGAAUAGAAGUAAAACACAGCUGGACAGCUCUGUGCUGAAGGCUGGCCUACGCCAUCUCACUUAACCCUUACCUCCAUGUCCCUGCGCUGUUACAUCCCAGCCAUCACUGUCAUCGUCCUCAUACAAAUGAGGGAAGCAGAGCCAGCAGCUUGUAAGUGAUAGGAAGUCGUUCCUCAGCCUUCUGGAGGUUACAAAGCUCAAGAUCAAGUGUGAAGAGGCGAGUGAGCUCUCUGUGCCCCUUCACAAGGACCAAGCCACUAACCAAAGGCCUCAUCUCCAAAUGCCAUCACAGGGUAAUGGCGUUCCAACUCACGGAUCUGAGAGGCACACAAAUACUGAACGUACAGCUAACGUCACUCUCUCACAGUUGGUUUUGCCGGGUGUCCUGAGUCAGGUUGAUAAUGAUAGGCAAUAACAAAGAUAGUCACAUGACAUCAGUAUUCCCCACCCCAC